AGUAUUGGCUAAGCGUAACUGGACUGAACGUUGGAGGGUGAAAACUUGCUGAGCGCUAAGGACUCCAAGUAAGUGCAAGGGCAAGGCAGAGCAGUGAGCGCUGGAGUCUUCCUUGCAAAUGUACAUGUGGACCGACCUUUUGGGAAGCCUUUUUAUUUUUGGAAAUGUUGUGUAAUUUUCCUAAACUAGGCUCACUCUAAUCUUUAUAAAACAUGUUUGUAAUUAAAUGUUAAGUAUGGCCAUACGACUUUUUAAAAAGUUUUUUUUUCUA